rnacentral:rRNA from 1 species
UACGUUCCCGGGUCUUGUACACACCGCCCGUCACACCACGAAAGUCGGCAACACCCGAAGCCGGUGGCCUAACCCGCAAGGGAGGGGGCCGUCGAAGGUGGGGCUGGCGAUUGGGGUG